GCUCAUGGCUCAGAUGACAGAGCAUGAGACUCUUAAUCACAGGGUUAUGGGUUCGAGUCCCAUGUUAGGCA